CCUGGACAUCAUGGAGAAGCUGCCCCGGAGCCCCCGAGAAGCCCUCAUCAGUGGCUGGCUCUUCUUCCGAUACCUGGCUAUCGGAGUGUACGUAGGCCUGGCCACAGUGGCUGCCGCCACCUGGUGGUUUGUGUAUGACGCCGAGGGACCUCACAUCAACUUCUACCAGCUGGUGAGCGAGGGCUGGCCAGGGAGCCUGUUGAACUUACAGCUCGAGUUGUUGGAGUUCCAGGGGAGAUGGGUCCAGAGCCGCAUGGGUGGCCUGCAGUGUCCUUCCCCACUCGCUAUACACGAAUAAACAUCCCCACCUGGGGAGCCGAGCUCAGAGCCCACGGGAAACCCAGAGACACCAGCACGGCCCCCCAAGCCAAAAGGCGCCUCCCCAUCCCAGUUAGCGGGGACCAAGGGGCCUCACUGCCAGAUGU
rnacentral:sRNA from 1 species